UACGAGUGCUUCGAGCGUUAUCCGGAAUCAUUGGGCGUAAAGGGUGUGUAGGCGGUAGUGUUAGUCUCGUGUAAAAUUCUUCGGCUUAACCGGGGGCUCGCACGGGAAACGGCACAACUAAGAGGACGGAAAAGGUCACUGGAACUCAUGGUGUAGCGGUGAAAUGCGUUGAUAUCAUGGGGAACACCAAAAGCGAAGGCAAGUGACUGGUCCGCUCCUGACGCUGAAACACGAAAGCGUGGGUCGCGAAUGGG
rnacentral:rRNA from 1 species